rnacentral:SRP_RNA from 1 species
UGUUAGUUCUCCAGCAAUGUACUAACUUGUGAACUCGGUCAGGUCCGGAAGGAAGCAGCCGCAGCAGGUGAAACGUGUGCUGAGACUCACUGGCAGGG